rnacentral:lncRNA from 1 species
GGAAGUUCUGAGUCAGGAUUCCACAAAGGUGACUUCCACAGGGACCUGUAUCCCUUGACCCUGAACCCAACACCUUCACCUGUUUACUUCCUUUAUUAACACCACAGUGAGAAGAGCCCUUUCCUUCAACUACCAUUUGCUUCCUGUGCUAGAUUAUUCUUACCAACUCAUCUUGGUCUACCACUCAGAACUUCAUUAAAAUUUCUAACUUUCUUGGUUUGGUCAGUAUUAAACUAGCACCAGUGACAUUUUCUCACUUGUGAGAAAAGGUUCCCUGCCCCAAUUAGGGGCUAAUUUCCCCCUCUCACUUGUGUGGAAAGCUAUCUGGAAGUGAUGGGAAAGGGCCUUGGAGUAGAGUUUUAGUCCCAACUUGGCCACUUAAUUUCGUGACCUUAGAUGAGUCUGUUUCCUUCUCUGUUUCCUCAAUUUACUGUAAAAAAAGUGGACACGCUGGUUGGUUUCUAAAGGCAUUUCAAUCCCAAUCUAUGUCAGUCCAACCUCCUCUCCCAGCCAGGAGAUUUUGGGUAGUGAAUCUACUGUGGUUCAUUACUCCCACCGGAUCUUAAACUUGACCCCAAACGCACAGAAGAGCUGGCCUUUGAAGCCUAACUAAAAGUAUACAGCAUAUGCAGGGCUUUGUGGGGUGUGGGGCAGACUGGAAGCCUCGCCUCGCCCAUUUCUCGCGGAGCAAGGGAGGGCUGUGCAGGAGCAGAAGACACCGAGGAAUCGUGGAGCUGUGCUGGCUGAUACUUUCCUGGAGACACAGAGACACAGAUGCCACUUCGAGGCAGGGCGAGGUGCCCCAGCGUGAGUGAGCUCAAUGGAAAGGAAGGCGUGCGGACUCCACCUCCCAAACCUACCCAAGAGAAGGAGGGCCAAGGUGAGCCAUAUGGCCCCGCCCCGCAAUUGAGGAGCGCGUCUGUAGAUUCUCGUUAACGAUUGGCUGCGAGGGAUGCGUCCUGAUGUAAUGACCAGAAGCCCUCGGAGCCCCAGCACGCAGGCGCAGUCAGCGGCAGCUCGGAGAUCAGAUACUCUGAGUCACCUCGGCCGAAGCCAUGGGAGCUCAGCUGAGCGGUGGCGGGGACGGCGACGGCGGACCUCCGCCGGGCCCGGCCCCGGAGCAGCCGGAGCCUGCGGCCCCCGGGGGCGGCGACCCGGCCCCCCGGCCCCGCCCGGACCCCGCCGCCUGGGGGCCCCUGGACGACGUUCGCUUCCUCGUCGUCUGCACCUCCUGGUACUAGCGGGAUCCCAGAGCAGCGUCGGGAGCCGGGGUCGCGCCUGCCGAGCCCCCUGCCAUGGACACCCCCGACUUUCUUUGCCCCUCUUCACAGCAUGA